UACGAAGGGGCUAGCGUUGUUCGGAAUUACUGGGCGUAAAGGGCGCGUAGGCGGUGUGUCAAGUCAGGCGUGAAAGCCCCGGGCUCAACCUGGGAACCGCGCUUGAGACUGGCACGCUCGAGUUCGGGAGAGGAUGGUGGAAUUCCCAGUGUAGAGGUGAAAUUCGUAGAUAUUGGGAAGAACACCGAUGGCGAAGGCAGCCAUCUGG
rnacentral:rRNA from 1 species